rnacentral:rRNA from 1 species
GGAGUCUGGGCCGUAUCUCAGUCCCAAUGUGGCCGUUCAACCUCUCAGUCCGGCUACUGAUCGUCGACUUGGUGAGCCGUUACCUCACCAACUAUCUAAUCAGACGCGAGCCCAUCUCAGAGCACAUAAAGCUUUGAUUCAAAGAAGAUGCCUUCCUUAAAUGUCAUGCGGUAUUAGCAGCCGUUUCCAGCUGUUGUCCCCCACUCUGAGGCAGGUUGCUCACGCGUUACUCACCCGUCCGCCACUAAGUCUACAAUUCCGUUGACCGAAGUCUCCUUCCUCGCAGCUUCGUUCGACUUGCAUGUGUUAGGCACGCCGCCAGCGUUCAUC